rnacentral:tRNA from 1 species
UAUAUAUUAGUGUAUGUUGCACAAAGAUUUUUGAAUUCUUUUGAAAUAGUUAAAUUCUAUUAUAUAUAUA